UCUCCAAAAAAUGAAAACACUUAGACCGAUAGAGAGAGAGAGAGAGAGAGACAGACAGAGAGAAGGGUCUGUGCUGUUGAAACAAUGAAAACUGCGGUUUACAGAAUCAAGAAUCAAGAACUAACAUCUCAGAAUUGAUCCUUCUUCUUCAGUCUCAAUUCUUCAUGGAAAUGGCGGAACCUCCUCCUCCUCCUCCUCCUCCUCCUCGGUAUCAUGAUCACAACUCAUCCUCCUAUAAUCCUAACAGCAGUGGCACAAAUGUCUUUAGAUUGCUAGCACAAAGAGAGAUUGCGCCUAGAACCAAACAUGUUCCAAGGUGGCGCUGGGGAGAAUCUUGCAAAUCGAAAUCCGGUUCUUGCUCCCAUCGGAAAAGUGAAGCAGUAAUAGAUGCAAAGCGUGGUCUUCUCUCAUGGGUUGAGGCUGAGUCGUUGUUGCAUUUGUCAGCUAAGUAUUGCCCUUUAUUGCCUCCACCACGGUCUACUAUUGCUGCGGCAUUCAGUCCAGAUGGAAAAGUGCUUGCCUCCACACAUGGUGACCACACAGUAAAGUUAAUGGAUUGUCAAACUGGAAAUUGCUUACAGGUGUUAGUUGGCCAUAGAAGGACACCUUGGGUUGUUAGGUUCCAUCCAUUACAUCAACGGAUACUUGUUAGCGGGAGCUUGGACCAAGAAGUUCGUUUAUGGGAUGCUAACACAUCAGAGCGGAUAUUAUCUCACUAUUUCUAUCGCCCUAUUGCAUCCCUUGCUUUACAUGCCAGCGGGGAAAUAAUUGCUGUUGCAUCAGGCCACAAGUUGUACAUGUGGCACUACAAUAAUGGAGGUGAAGCAUUUCAACCAGUGGCUGUGUUGAAGACAAGGCGCUCACUCCGUGCCGUGCAUUUUCACCCACAUGCUGCACCAUAUCUUUUAACUGCUCAGGUCAAUGAUCUCGACCCGUCAGAUUACUCUAUGACAGAGGCAACAUCUCUCGGUUAUUUACAAUAUCCUCCUCCUGUUGUUUUUGUCACAAAUGUUCAACCUAGGACACUGAUCCAUUUGUCAAGUAAACCGCCCAACAUGUCAUUACGUCUCUUCAUGCCUUCAUAUACUGCAGACGAGUCCAGAGUAGAACUACAGCAUGCUAGGCAUGGUGUUGGUUCUAGUAGCAUGCAGGUUGAAGCAAAUGAAACAGAACAACAUGAUACUGCAUUGUCAUCAUCUGAGAUUCCCGCUAGCUCUCAAACUAGUGCAGAAUAUAAUGCUCAUACUACUUCACCUAAUCAAAUGAGAACUGGCAUCAGUAACCUCACAAUGGGUGGUAUGGAGACUAAUGAAACACAAACAGAAGCAGCAGAUGUAAGCCAACAUGAAAACUCUGCAAACGGAUUUCAUCAGUUUUUCCCUUCAAGAAAUCCAAGUGGAUGGGAGUUACCUUUUCUGCAAGGAUGGUUAAUGGGUCAAAGCCAAGUUGGCGUUCCCUCAAUGCUUCAUCACAUUGGUGGUAGUCGUGACAGCUUUCCACAGCAGAUUGGUCCUUCCACCAUGGGAUCUAAUCCGUCCACAACUAAUGUUGAGGCAGCAAUGUCGUCUUCAGAAAUGCCUGCCACAAUCAGCAUACCUGCAGCUUCUAUGAGAUCAGGUUUACAGAAUCAUUUUUCUCAAUCCCAUAUACCUGUAUCUGACUCUGGCAAUCUUCUUGCUUCUGUUAAUGCCCCACGUGAUGGGUCUGACAGCCAAACCAUUAUAAAUCGAAUCCAGUCAGAACAUGCUACGUCUGCGGCUGCUGCAGCUGCUACAGAGUUGCCUUGCACUGUUAAGUUAAAAGUAUGGCCAUAUGACAUUGAAAAUCCUUGUGCUCUGCUAAGAGGAUGUCGUCUAGUCAUACCACAUGUUGUCCUUUGCAGUGAAAUGGGUGCCCAUUUUUCACCAUGUGGUAGAUUUUUAGCUGCCUGCGUUGCAUGUAUGCAUCCUCAUACAGAAGGUGAUCCCGGAUCACAAAAUCUUGCACGCCAGGACCCUGGAGUUGCAACAUCGCCAACUCGACAUCCGAUCUCAGCGCAUCAAGUAAUGUAUGAGCUCCGGAUAUAUUCCCUUGAGGAGGAAACAUUUGGAUCGGUGCUUGUUUCACGGGCAAUUCGAGCUGCUCAUUGUCUGACUUCAAUUCAGUUCUCACCUACAUCUGAGCAUAUACUGCUUGCGUAUGGUCGACGUCAUGGCUCUCUUCUUAAAAGCAUUAUCAUUGAUGGAGAAACAACAUUACCAAUCUAUACAGUGUUAGAGGUAUACAGAGUGUCUGAUAUGGAACUUGUCAGGGUGCUGCCUAGUGCAGACGAUGAGGUCAAUGUGGCAUGCUUUCAUCCUUUUCCUGGGGGAGGGCUUGUUUAUGGAACCAAGGAAGGAAAGCUUAGGAUCUUCCAGUUUGACCGCGCUCGCACUGUGAAUGGCACUGGACCAGGUUACUUCCUUGCGGAGAACUUCAUUGGAGUUGGUCAGUGAGCAAGGUUUAAACUCAUGAUUGGGGGUAGAAUUUAAUUAUGCGCUACAGAUUUAUCUGCACAACUAAAAUGCUUUCUCCGCUGAUGAUCUACACAAACAACACAGAACAAUACUGAGCACAUGCAACUAAGUGGUGGAACUUCAUUACUGGAUCAGAAAAUGCAUAUUUUGUUGUAUACUUCAUGUAUGAACAUGUAACAAUAUUGUGCUGGUUCAAUUCAAAACCCGUAUGUAUUUCUUCUUUUCUCCCCCACCCCUGACAUAGAAGGGGCUUUUUCAUAUUCACAUCUAAACUGUAUCUAGUAAAGCUAGGAAAAGGAUGAUUUUUUUCCCUCCUGAAAUUCUUGAGGAAAUCGGGCUCCAGAUAACCCGAAUGGUUUUGGUUGAAUGGAGCAUGAUAGAGUCUUGUAUCUCUCAGAUUGUAGGUUUGAGCCCUCACUUAUUCCUUGAUGUGAGGUAAACAUAAAUCUGCAUAUUUUAUCUUAUUUUUUUGCAAGGGAUAUUUAUCCUAUUUACUUAUAGUUAAAUUGGAAUUGGAGGUAUAAACGCCUAUUUCAGAGAA